rnacentral:lncRNA from 1 species
AGAGAAGGGUGUCCCAGAUGUAGGCAAAGCGUCCUCCAUGUGUUCCUGGAGGACCGUCCCAAGUCCUUCUCCAUUCUCCCAACCUCUUGGGCCUGGAAGUCAGACAAGUACCGGUGAUUGCCGGUUUCUUGUCUGAUUUUUGCACUUCUCUGGCAAGCUGCCCCCUCUGAAGAGUUGACUAUUUGGGAGUUACUCACUGAUGGUUCAGCCACUUCCAGAACCUACCCCAAGAGCAAGACUUGAAACCAACUCGCACCCUCAAAGCUCCGGAAGCCAUUCAGUGUUUCCAUCUUGGCUGAGUGAGUUCUUCACUGAAACUCAAUUUGACUUUGACAGUCAUCUAAUGAGAACUCAAAAGUCAUUCUUGGUUCAGCCACAGUCAAAGAACUUGCAGAGCAUUCUCUGACGAGGUCCUCAAGGACAACUGAGAGAAGGGAUGUCCUCCACCUUUUCAAUCUGAUUUGCUCUUUGCCAUGCAGACCUGUGGAUGAAGAGCCAGAGUCCUCCAAGGUGAAGCUGGACUGAAUAUUUCUGUCCAUAAGACUAUUAGAAUCCCCCAAAGUGGGAUACCAGUGAGGACCUCACCAGCAGCUGCUGUCUCUCCAAUGCAGCUCCACAGGGCCUGUGAGCAGGGCUGGCUAUGAGAUCCUGCCCUGAAGAGCAGUACUGGGCUGCUCUGCUAGGCACCUGCAUGUCCUGCAAAGCCAUCUGCAACCAUCAGAGCCAGCGCACCUGUGCAGCCUCCUGCGGUGAGUUCUGGGACCUGAGCCCAGGGGACAGUGUGAUCACCCCCAACGCCUGUCCCCAGAGCACCCUCUGGCCCCACAGUCAGGUGGCUGAGGAGAGGAUGGCAGGAGGAGAUGUACAGUGUGGCACCUCUUAUCCCUCCACCUUCCUGCUCUGGCCACACUGCCUCCUUUCAGUGUCGAACAUGCCAUGUUCUUCCCUGCCUCGGGUUCUUUGCACAUGUUGUUCCCGCUGCCUGGAAUGCAUGCUCUCUAUCAUCUUCCCUCAGCUCCCUCCUACCCAACUUUCAGGUCUCGGCCCAAACAUCGGGGGUCUCCUCUGACCACACAGUAGUACUGGGCCCUCCUUUGUACUGCUAGUGUUACUUUCUUUUGAAACUUUUAAUUACAGAACUUACCACACAUAUACAUAGAGAGGACUGCACAAUGAUGCCCUCCUCAUCCAUUACCAGCUUCACAAAUCAUUUAAAUUCUGCCUUGUACUUUCCCAACCAGUUGUUUUGGCUUGUGUAUUUUAAAGCAAAGCCAAGACCUCAUAUCAUUUUACCUGCAGAUACUGGGCCAUAAAGAUCUGUAAAACAUAACCCAAAUAUCCUAUCACUGCCAGCAAUAAUUUAUUAACAUCAUCUAAUAUUCAGGCCAUAUCCAAUUUUCCCUGAUUGUCUUGAAAACUAUCCAUUGCUUGCUGUUCUUUUUCAUAAUCUGUCUUUUUCCUUGAUAGAACUUACCACAAUUU